rnacentral:rRNA from 1 species
GACGGACGCUGGCGGCGUGCUUAACACAUGCAAGUCGAACGGAAAGGCCCUGCUUUUGUGGGGUGCUCGAGUGGCGAACGGGUGAGUAACACGUGAGUAACCUGCCCUUGACUUUGGGAUAACUUCAGGAAACUGGGGCUAAUACCGGAUAGGAGCUCCUGCUGCAUGGUGGGGGUUGGACAGUUUCGGCGGUUGGGGAUGGACUCGCGGCUUAUCAGCUUGUUGGUGGGGUAGUGGCUUACCAAGGCUUUGACGGGUAGCCGGCCUGAGAGGGUGACCGGCCACAUUGGGACUGAGAUACGGCCCAGACUCCUACGGGAGGCAGCAGUGGGGAAUAUUGCACAAUGGGCGGAAGCCUGAUGCAGCAACGCCGCGUGCGGGAUGACGGCCUUCGGGUUGUAAACCGCUUUCGCCUGUGACGAAGCGUGAGUGACGGUAAUGGGUAAAGAAGCACCGGCUAACUACGUG